rnacentral:misc_RNA from 1 species
GUUGGGUUUGUUACGGGUGGUUGGCUCUUUGCUUGUGCAACAACUUCCAUYUGACUUACCUUUUCAGUUUAUUGUCAAAUGCUUYUAAAGCAUUGGAUUAUUCAUGGGUUUCUUGUGUUGCCUACCUAUUUGAUGGAAUUGUCUAAUGACUUGUAAUUGGAUUUCAUGUUACAUCUUAAAUGUGGUGUGAGAUGAACCUUUAAGCAUUCUUUGUGAACCACAUCUUUAAUGCUUAUGUAUUAUUUGGUGUGGUUCAUUUUGAGUUGCUUGGUCUCUUGGAUAUGGAACUUGAUGUGGGCAUGGGCCUUUAUGAGCCCUUUUGUUGUCCUGUUUAAGCGUUCUUGCUUCUCUAAUACGAUUGUCUAUCACGUAUGGUACGUCUUCAGCGUGGUAGGCUAUGUCGGAGAUGAAUGCUACCUGGUUGAUCCU